AUCGUAAACCUUCCCCUUUCCUGAUAGAGAGAAACAAUGUUGCUCUCUGCCCUCUUCAACAUAGACAAAAAUGGACUCCUCCCCUCUCAUAGAGAACAAUCAGAAACGACCCACCCCCUCUUCUCCCUCUUCACUUUCACAUACACCCAGGAUAAUAGCAGCUGCAAAAUACCAACAAAAAGAAAAACCAGAUCCACAAAAUCAAAAGCUAAAAAUAGGAAGAAAAAAUUAGAAUUUUCAAUGGAGAUUUGAAGAACUGAUUUCAAAUCUUGAUUUCCUCUAUUUUUGGGUCUCUGAAAGUUGUUCUGGACUUGAAUUUGCCGUUCGAUUCUCUCUGACUUUGCUGUUUGCUGGAACCGUUACUGAGCUUCGUCCUCAUUAUUUUUCGCCUAGCAGAUCCAGGUGUGGAUCGUUAGUAGUUGUGCGUAUCAUUGCUGAGGAGACUCAAGGUAAACCUGUUGCUGCGUUCGCAGGCUUCAGAGUCACCUUCUUACUUGUAUUCAACUGUUUUCACUCUUUUCCAAAUAGUUUAUAUAGAAGUGGUAGCUAACUCUGUAGAGCUUAUGACUUGCACUAUCGGGUUUUGGGAAUAUGCUCAUUGUAUAAAAGAUUCAUUCCAGAAAAAAAAUUUAAGUUGUUAUUUAUUA